rnacentral:lncRNA from 7 species
CCAAUGUUGCCAAUGCGAUGUCAUGCGAAGUACAGUAUCGCAUGCUGUGAUCUGAACCGGUCAGUCAGGAAUACAUGCUGUGCGUACGUACACCAACCAGAGCUUGUGGUGAACGCUAGAGAACACUAUUCCCCUUCAACCCUGGUCCUGCUUCUCAGGCUGGCGGCCACACUGGCAUCUUGCUUUCGGAAACAGUUGAAAAUUAGGACACAAAUCCGAGAUGCCAGUACCGAUAGCUAAGCUAGACACGGCCCUGCUUUGCAACCUGCACCAGCCCCUCUCGCUCCAUUUGCGAUCAGGAAUCCGCAUUUUUAAUAAUAUGCUAAUGGUCCGAUUACUACACCACUUAAUCUUGCUUCCUGAGAAUCCUGAU